rnacentral:rRNA from 1 species
UACGGGGGGAGCAAGCGUUGUUCGGAUUUACUGGGCGUAAAGGGCGCGUAGGCGGUCAGCACAAGUCAGUUGUGAAAUCUCCGGGCUUAACUCGGAAAGGUCAACUGAUACUGUGCGGCUAGAGUGCGGAAGGGGCAACUGGAAUUCUUGGUGUAGCGGUGAAAUGCGUAGAUAUCAAGAGGAACACCUGCGGCGAAGGCGGGUUGCUGGGCCGACACUGACGCUGAUGCGCGAAAGCCAGGGGAGCGAACGGG